GGUUCCGUGGUGUAGUGGUUAUCACGUCUGCUUUACGCGCAGAAGGUCCCCCGGUUCGAUCCCGGGCGGAACCA
rnacentral:tRNA from 1 species